rnacentral:rRNA from 1 species
CCUACGGGAGGCUGCAGUGGGGAAUAUUGGACAAUGGGCGAAAGCCUGAUCCAGCCAUGCCGCGUGUGUGAAGAAGGCCUUCGGGUUGUAAAGCACUUUCAGUGGGGAAGAAAGCCUUGGGGCUAAUACCCUCGAGGAAGGACAUCACCCACAGAAGAAGCACCGGCUAACUCCGUGCCAGCAGCCGCGGUAAUACGGAGGUGCGAGCGUUAAUCGGAAUUACUGGGCGUAAAGCGCGCGUAGGCGGUCUGAUAAGCCGGUUGUGAAAGCCCCGGGCUCAACCUGGGAACGGCAUCCGGAACUGUCAGGCUAGAGUGCAGGAGAGGAAGGUAGAAUUCCCGGUGUAGCGGUGAAAUGCGUAGAGAUCGGGAGGAAUACCAGUGGCGAAGGCGGCCUUCUGGACUGACACUGACGCUGAGGUGCGAAAGCGUGGGUAGCAAACAGGAUUAGAUACCCGAGUAGUC